UAGCUUGUUGGUGAGGUAAUGGCUCACCAAGGCUACGAUCAGUAGCUGGUCUGAGAGGAUGAUCAGCCACACUGGGACUGAGACACGGCCCAGACUCCUACGGGAGGCAGCAGUGGGGAAUAUUGCGCAAUGGGCGAAAGCCUGACGCAGCGACGCCGCGUGAGUGAUGACGCCUUUCGGGGUGUAAAGCUCUGUCAAGAGGGAUGAUUAUGACGGUACCUCUAAAGGAAGCCCCGGCUAACUACGUGCCAGCAGCCGCGGUAAUACGUAGGGUGCAAGCGUUAUCCGGAUUUAUUGGGCAUAAAGAGUACGUAGGCGGUAUUUUAAGUCAGAUGUAAAAUCCCACAGCUCAACUGUGGUCAGCAUUUGAAACUGGAGUACUAGAGACUAGGAGAGGAAAGUGGAACUCACAGUGUAGCGGUGAAAUGCGUAGAUAUUGUGAGGAACACCAGUGGCGAAGGCGGCUUUCUGGCCUGAUUCUGACACUGAGGCGCGAAAGCGUGGGGAGCGAACGGGAUUAGAUACCCCGGUNNNNNNNNNNNNNNNNNGUGUUCACUAGGUGUAGGAGGUAUCGACCCCUUCUGUGCCGCAGAUAAUUCGUUAAGUGAACCGCCUGGGGAGUACGACCGCAAGGUUGAAACUCAAAGGAAUUGACGGGGGCCCGCACAAGCGGUGGAGCAUGUGGUUUAAUUCGAUGCAACGCGAAGAACCUUACCAGGGCUUGACAUACUGCGAACCUUUAAGAAAUUAAAGGGUGCCUUCGGGAACGCAGUUACAGGUGGUGCAUGGCUGUCGUCAGCUCGUGUCGUGAGAUGUUGGGUUAAGUCCCGCAACGAGCGCAACCCUCGUUUUUAGUUGCUAGCAUUUAGUUGGCCACUCUAGAAAGACCGCCGGUGAUAAACCGGAGGAAGGUGUGGAUGACGUCAAGUCAUCAUGCCCCUUACACCCUGGGCUACACACGUACUACAAUGCUACGGACAAAGGGCAGCAAACUCGCGAGAGCUAGCAAAUCCCAUAAACCGUGGCUCAGUUCAGAUCGUAGGCUGCAACUCGCCUACGUGAAGUAGGAAUCGCUAGUAAUCGCAGGUCAGCAUACUGCGGUGAAUACGUUCCCGGGCCUUGUACACACCGCCCGUCACACCAUGGAAGUUGGCCAUGCCCGAAGUCGUUACUCCAACCCUUGUGGAGGAGGACGCCGAAGGUGGGGCUAAUGACUGGGGUGAAGUCGUAACAAGGUAGCCGUA
rnacentral:rRNA from 1 species